rnacentral:tRNA from 1 species
GGGGCUGUGCUCAGAGGUAAAGCAUCUGCUUUGCAUGUAGAAGGUCCCAGGUUCAAUCCCUGGCAUCUCCA